AAGGAAUAUUGGUCAAUGGACGCAAGUCUGAACCAGCCAUGCCGCGUGAAGGAUGAAGGUCCUCUGGAUUGUAAACUUCUUUUAUCUGGGACGAAAACGGGAUUUUUAUCUCAAUUGACGGUACCAGAGGAAUAAGCACCGGCUAACUCCGUGCCAGCAGCCGCGGUAAUACGGAGGGUGCGAGCGUUAUCCGGAUUUACUGGGUUUAAAGGGUGCGUAGGUGGGCUUAUAAGUCAGUGGUGAAAUCUCCGAGCUUAACUUGGAAACUGCCGUUGNUACGAUAGGUCUUGAAUUAUCUGGAGGUAAGCGGAAUAUGUCAUGUAGCGGUGAAAUGCUUAGAUAUGACAUAGAACACCAAUUGCGAAGGCAGCUUACUACAUAUAAAUUGACGCUGAGGCACGAAAGCGUGGGGAUCAAACA
rnacentral:rRNA from 1 species